rnacentral:rRNA from 1 species
GAUGAACGCUGGCUACAGGCUUAACACAUGCAAGUCGAGGGGAAACGACGGGGAAGCUUGCUUCCCCGGGCGUCGACCGGCGCACGGGUGAGUAACGCGUAUCCAACCUGCCUCUGACUGAGGGAUAACCCGUCGAAAGUCGGCCUAAUACCUCAUGGCAUCGUCUGCGGGCAUCCAACGACGAUUAAAGAUUUCAUCGGUCAGAGAUGGGGAUGCGUCUGAUUAGCUUGUUGGCGGGGUAACGGCCCACCAAGGCGACGAUCAGUAGGGGUUCUGAGAGGAAGGUCCCCCACAUUGGAACUGAGACACGGUCCAAACUCCUACGGGAGGCAGCAGUGAGGAAUAUUGGUCAAUGGGCGAGAGCCUGAACCAGCCAAGUAGCGUGCAGGAUGACGGCCCUAUGGGUUGUAAACUGCUUUUAUGCGGGGAUAAAGUGAGGGACGUGUCCUUCAUUACAGGUACCGCAUGAAUAAGGACCGGCUAAUUCCGUG